CUUCAUUCAUUUUUCCAAAAAUUCUGUGUCCAGCCAAUAGCUGAUGCAGUUACAGUAUUCAGUCACGGCUCCAGUUCAGGUGAGGCUCGUCACCGUAGCCUUGCUCAUACAAGCCCCUUAUACCUCUGCACAGCGAGCAGAGCUUCAAGCUCUGUCUGUGCCCUAAUGCACUUUGCCAGUGAAGUUCAUACCACAGGACAGUUCCUACGGUAGGAGUCGCUGUGCACAUUGGAACAACCACUACUGGGUGGCCUGCAGAAAGCUCUCUGUGGGCGGCAGUACCCCCGCUUCAUGGACACAUCCGAGCUCACGGCACGCUCCCAGGCCUUCAGCGGCUGCUGGUCGUCUCUGCAGGCCUGGGCUCAGUCCUCUCGCACAGCAUGUCAUCAAAACGCUCCCGGCCUACGCAGGGAGUCCCACAUCACCCGAGAGCGAGCUCGCCAAGUUCUUUGCCAAUGUCCUCACUGUGUCGUGCACACUCCAGUUCUAGCCACUGGAGUUGAUCCCCGAGGUCUUUGACCAGACCGGUGGUGGCCGAGGGAUGUGACUCGUACCCCUGAAUCUGAAAGAGCUGUGUUGUGAUCACUUUACUAUCAACAGGCGUUCUCGCUUCAUUUCCGCCACCACUCGAACAGGACAAAGUACACAUGAAGUCAUCGUUCCCUGUUUAGCUGCUCUGGAGUCCUGGGCUGUCCACAGACUAAAACCCAUGAUGCGUCAGCUUAUGCCAGUCCUUCUUUUCAACACUUCUGUGAUCAAUACCAUAUUGAUCACGAACUGGUAUUUCUAAUAAUCCUCAAGGCCAGGCCGUGGGAGAGAGGGCUCACUUACCCCUUAUGUUACAACUGCAAAACAAAAAGGGGAGACAGAGCCCCACAGAGUCCUU
rnacentral:lncRNA from 1 species